rnacentral:rRNA from 1 species
GACGAACGCUGGCGGCGUGCCUAAUACAUGCAAGUUGAGCGCUGAAGGUUGGUACUUGUACCGACUGGAUGAGCAGCGAACGGGUGAGUAACGCGUGGGGAAUCUGCCUUUGAGCGGGGGACAACAUUUGGAAACGAAUGCUAAUACCGCAUAACAACUUUAAACACAAGUUUUAAGUUUGAAAGAUGCAAUUGCAUCACUCAAAGAUGAUCCCGCGUUGUAUUAGCUAGUUGGUGAGGUAAAGGCUCACCAAGGCGAUGAUACAUAGCCGACCUGGGAGGGUGAUCGGACACAUUGGGACUCAGACACGGCCCAAACUCCUACGGGAGGCAGCAGUAGGGAAUCUUCGGCAAUGGACGAAAGUCUGACCGAGCAACGCCGCGUGAGUGAAGAAGGUUUUCGGAUCGUAAAACUCUGUUGGUAGAGAAGAACGUUGGUGAGAGUGGAAAGCUCAUCAAGUGACGGUAACUACCCAGAAAGGGACGGCUAACUACGUGCCAGCCGCCGCCGUAA